rnacentral:rRNA from 1 species
UUUAUGGAGAGUUUGAUCCUGGCUCAGAGUGAACGCUGGCGGCGUGCCUAAUACAUGCAAGUCGAACGAUGAAGCUUCUAGCUUGCUAGAAUGCUGAUUAGUGGCGCACGGGUGAGUAACGCAUAGGUUAUGUGCCUCUUAGUUUGGGAUAGCCAUUGGAAACGAUGAUUAAUACCAGAUACUCCCUACGGGGGAAAGAUUUAUCGCUAAGAGAUCAGCCUAUGUCCUAUCAGCUUGUUGGUAAGGUAAUGGCUUACCAAGGCUAUGACGGGUAUCCGGCCUGAGAGGGUGAACGGACACACUGGAACUGAGACACGGUCCAGACUCCUACGGGAGGCAGCAGUAGGGAAUAUUGCUCAAUGGGGGAAACCCUGAAGCAGCAACGCCGCGUGGAGGAUGAAGGUUUUAGGAUUGUAAACUCCUUUUGUUAGAGAAGAUAAUGACGGUAUCUAACGAAUAAGCACCGGCUAACUCCGUGCCAGCAGCCGCGGUAAUACGGAGGGUGCAAGCGUUACUCGGAAUCACUGGGCGUAAAGAGCGCGUAGGCGGGAUAGUCAGUCAGGUGUGAAAUCCUAUGGCUUAACCAUAGAACUGCAUUUGAAACUACUAUUCUAGAGUGUGGGAGAGGUAGGUGGAAUUCUUGGUGUAGGGGUAAAAUCCGUAGAGAUCAAGAGGAAUACUCAUUGCGAAGGCGACCUGCUGGAACAUUACUGACGCUGAUUGCGCGAAAGCGUGGGGAGCAAACAGGAUUAGAUACCCUGGUAGUCCACGCCCUAAACGAUGGAUGCUAGUUGUUGGAGGGCUUAGUCUCUCCAGUAAUGCAGCUAACGCAUUAAGCAUCCCGCCUGGGGAGUACGGUCGCAAGAUUAAAACUCAAAGGAAUAGACGGGGACCCGCACAAGCGGUGGAGCAUGUGGUUUAAUUCGAAGAUACACGAAGAACCUUACCUAGGCUUGACAUUGAGAGAAUCCGCUAGAAAUAGUGGAGUGUCUAGCUUGCUAGACCUUGAAAACAGGUGCUGCACGGCUGUCGUCAGCUCGUGUCGUGAGAUGUUGGGUUAAGUCCCGCAACGAGCGCAACCCCCUUUCUUAGUUGCUAACAGGUCAUGCUGAGAACUCUAAGGAUACUGCCUCCGUAAGGAGGAGGAAGGUGGGGACGACGUCAAGUCAUCAUGGCCCUUACGCCUAGGGCUACACACGUGCUACAAUGGGGUGCACAAAGAGAAGCAAUACUGCGAAGUGGAGCCAAUCUUCAAAACACCUCUCAGUUCGGAUUGUAGGCUGCAACUCGCCUGCAUGAAGCUGGAAUCGCUAGUAAUCGCAAAUCAGCCAUGUUGCGGUGAAUACGUUCCCGGGUCUUGUACUCACCGCCCGUCACACCAUGGGAGUUGUGUUUGCCUUAAGUCAGGAUGCUAAAUUGGCUACUGCCCACGGCACACACAGCGACUGGGGUGAAGUCGUAACAAGGUAACCGUAGGUGAACCUGCGGUUGGAUCACCUCCUUU